AACGAACGCUGGCGGCAUGCCUAACACAUGCAAGUCGAACGAGACCUUCGGGUCUAGUGGCGCACGGGUGCGUAACGCGUGGGAAUCUGCCCUUGGGUUCGGAAUAACAGUUGGAAACGACUGCUAAUACCGGAUGAUGACGUAAGUCCAAAGAUUUAUCGCCCAAGGAUGAGCCCGCGUAGGAUUAGCUAGUUGGUGAGGUAAAGGCUCACCAAGGCGACGAUCCUUAGCUGGUCUGAGAGGAUGAUCAGCCACACUGGGACUGGGACACGGCCCAGACUCCUACGGGAGGCAGCAGUGGGGAAUAUUGGACAAUGGGCGAAAGCCUGAUCCAGCAAUGCCGCGUGAGUGAUGAAGGCCUUAGGGUUGUAAAGCUCUUUUACCCGGGAUGAUAAUGACAGUACCGGGAGAUUAAGCUCCGGCUAACUCCGUG
rnacentral:rRNA from 1 species